rnacentral:rRNA from 1 species
GCUACCGCUAUUGGAGUUCGAUUAAGCCAUGCGAGUCUAGAGGCCUAGCCUCGGCGUACCGCUCAGUAACACGUGGGUAACCUACCCUAUGCUGGGGAAUAAGCUCGGGAAACUGAGAAUAAUACCCCAUAGUCCACUACGCCUGGAACGGUGAGUGGAUCAAAGCUCCGGCGGCAUAGGAUGGGCCUGCGGCGUAUCAGGUUGUAGGGGGUGUAAUGUACCCUCUAGCCAUCCACGCGUACGGGUGUUGGGAGACAUUGCCCGGAGAUGGAUUCUGAGACACGAAUCCAGACCCUACGGGGUGCAGCAGGCGCGAAAACUUGGCAAUGCGAGAAAUCGUGACCAGGGAACUCCAAGUGGCAGGGGUAAGACCCUGUCUUUUUCCGACUCUAAAUAGGUCGGCGAAUAAGGGGUGGGUAAGGACGGUGCCAGCCGCCGCGGUAAUACCGGCGCCUCAAGUGGUAGUCGCUUUUAUUGGGCCUAAAACGUCCGUAGCCGGUCUGGUACAUUCGUGGGUAAAUCAACUCGCUCAACGAGUUGAAUUCUGCGAGGACGGCCAGACUUGGGACCGGGAGAGGUGUUGGGGUACUCUCAGGGUAGGGGGUAAAAUCCUGUCAUCCUGAGAGGACCACCUGUUGCGAAGGCUCCACACUAGAACGGAUCCGACGGUCAGGGACGAAGCCUAGGGGCACGAACCGGAUUAGAUACCCGGGUAGUCCUAGGUGUAAACGCUGUGGACUUGAUGUUGGGGACGCUCCGAGCGUUCUCAGUGUCGAAGCGAAGGUGAUAAGUCCACUGCCUGGGGAGUACGGUCGCAAGGCUGAAACUUAAAGGAAUUGGCGGG